GCUUUAUGAAAAAAUCAACUGUUGUGUGCAAAAAAAAAGAACAAAAAAAGUGUAACAUUGAUUAACUUUUUCCAAAUUUAAUGUCUGACUUAAUAGAAGAUGUUUGUAUUCCCAUGUCUGCUUUUGUAUUAAAUCAAUUCAUAUAUCAUAGUUAUAUAUAGGCUCCAAAAAAACCUUACUGUACCCUACCGAGAGGAAGAAAUCUAAAACAACAAAUGUUUUAUGAUGAUGAUGAUGAUGAUGCCAAUAGUAUUAACCUUGGAAACUCCGUAACAGUGUAUCAGAGUUCUCCCUCGGAAUCACUAGACCACAUUUGGAGAUUAGAAUAGUGGAUCCUGGAAGUAAAUCCAUGUGCUGGUUAAUUUCAGGAGUCAUCUCAACUGGACUAAGUAAUACCUAGACAACUGACAGAGAGAAAAAGGCUUUGCUGAUAAACUUAAAUGUGGGGUGUGAAAAAGGAAGGCAUCAAGGAUGACCACAAGGUUUGGGUCCUAAGAAACUGUACAGGCAUGAGCCACCAUGCCAGGCCCACACAUUUAUUAUUGUCCUGCCUACUCUGCAUCUCCACAGCGAUUUCUAGUAAGCUCCUCAACCUGAAUAUAUCCAAACCUGACCUUGGGUUCUAUGCUGGCUCCUCUCCUGGCCUCCAAAAUCCACUUUACCCUCAGUUUCCUCACCUCGGUGGAUGUUGUCUUCAGGGCAGGUGGAUUUAGGAGCCAUCAGUGCAGGGCUCAGAAUGGAGCCUUUCAGAAUGGAUGACAGUGAAAUCCAUUGAGGGUUAAAACAUACAGGUGCUGUGCUAACUUUUCCUUAAAUAACUUACAGAGCAAUUCUCAUUUCCAUUCUGCAGACACAGAAACAGAGGCUUUGAGUAAUUAGUUAACUGGCUUUCGGUUCCAGGGCUAAUGAGUUGUGGAUGACAACACACGAAGAUAGAAAAAAAAGCCUAGAGACAGUAGAUAGUGAGCCAGCUUGCCUGGGACAUGCUGACAGAUAGCCAGAUUUAGCAUAAAGAAAAUUUGUGUUCAUGAGCAUUCCUGAAGGCAACAAGAGGUAAGAUAACCAUGAUAAAUGGAUAUUUCUUGACGAGACUAAAUAAAGGAGACAGAUUUCUGGGCAAUUUGUCACACCUACUACAUGCAGGACACUGCACUAGAUCUUAUGAAAAACAGAAGAUAGGAUCAAGUGCCUAGGUCUUGAAGGAGGGCUAAGUGCACUUUGCACUUAGCAUACAUUCUUGUGACUUACUCUUUGAUACACUGUUGUAAACAAACUGCAUGUAUUAAUCAUUCCAUCCUCACAAUGGCAACCCUAAAAGUCAAAUACUAUUACUGUCCUUAUUUUACAGAUAGAAAACUGGGGCACAGAGAUGGUAGGUACCUGGCCCAGGCCACCUGGCUUCAGAAUUAGUGCUCUUAUCCAGUUCAUUGUGCAAUCUCUCCUCACUAAUUUUGAACUUUAGCAGCUGAGACCUACUAGAUAAUAGGUUCUCAAUAAAAAUUUGUUGAAUCACUGAAUUCAUUUCUAUUUCCCAUCCAUUUCUUUCCCAAGACUUCUUUCCCAGAGUUCUGUAUAAAGGACUGCAUGAGAAAUGGACCCAGGAGCCUCAUACUUUGGAAAGUACAAAGUUCAAAGAUACAAAGUAUUGGGCUCAGAAACUCCUAAUCUGAAGCUUAGCACCUUAGCUGCUUCUCUCUGUCAAAGUGACUUGGAUCCUGCAGGUAAGGAUGGGGUGAUUGUUCUUACUGAUACAAUUUCAAGCCAUACACCUACUGAUAGACUAUGAAUUUAAAAAUAAAUGAACAAUUAAAUAAGGAUGAUGGAUAGAUAUGGAAUGAACAGUAGUAUGGAUUAUAAUAAAGAAAGUUUAGUAAAAUAUUAACCAUAUCACUACAAUCUACAUGGUAGAUACAUUGGUAUUCCUGAAAAUUCUUUCACCUUUGCUUUAUGUUUUAGAAGUUUUAUGAUAAAAUGUUGGGAAGGAAACGGGGGGAGGGAAAAUUUGUGUUAUUCUGCUCAUAACAGAGACCAGAAAUACCACUGGUUUAAACAAAACAAGGGUUUUCUUGUUUUAUUUUGUUUCGUAAAAUGAAUUUAGAUGGUGACAGUCCAGGGCUGAUCUGGCAGCUCAGAGGUGUCAUUCAGGCCCCAGCCUGCUUCUGACUUCAUUCUCUGCUGUCUCUGAAUGCGGCUUCCAACCUCAGGGUUGCCUCAUCAUCCUAGGAAGACUGCUGCACCUCCAUUUCAAUAGUCUACAUCCUAGGCAAGAGGAAGAAGGAAGUACAUAAAGAGUAUCCUCACACUCCCAGCUAUUUUGGCCUCCCUCUUAAAGGAUCUCUGGGAGAAGCACGAGCCCACAACUUUCACUUACAAACCAUUGGUUCCAAAUUAGUCCCUUGGUCUCAGUAUCUACAAGAUAGAGGAGCAAUUUGCAGUAGUCAAGAAAAUUAGGCCUUAUCACCAAGAAGAAAGGGGGAAUGCAUGAUGCAGAAGCGACCAUCCUUCUCAACAAGAUACCACACAGCCUAAAUUCAAGCUCUUACGAUAUAAUCAAAUUCCAUCAGCCCAGUCACAUCUUAGCCUUAGGAGCUUUGAUCACUGACUUGCAAAUCCAAAAGUGUUUUGUGACCCUAGGCCACAGGAAGAACCAGUUUGUCCCACAGACCUCUUACAGAGAUGGCAUUCACAGUAUGUCUAGAGUCCAGCUUCAGAGAAUAUGUACUCCACUGGCAGCACGAAAAAGAAAUACACAGGAAAAUGCAGUAUAGCACAAACCAGCACUUGAGGACGAAUGAAGAUGCUUAGAAUCACGUGCACUAAAAAUGUCCUGAAAAGGGUAAAACGUGUCAAGCAGUACUGCCUCUGGAAACCAGAAAAAUUUUAUUUGGUAACAGAUCCUGAGCCUGGAUGCUGGAGGUGCUUAAAAAUGUGCAUCGUAUCUGGUUUUCUUUCCAUUUAUACAUUUAUUUGACACUGUGGUAAAAUAUGCUUCUCCUUCAUGUACCCAUAUUCAUGCAAGCAAAUGUUAACAGACUGCUACAAUAGCAUUUUAAUUAGUGCACAUCUUUCUCUCUUCACCACAUUAUAAGCUUUUCCCAUUUUAUUCUGCUGAUAUUUCUAUUAUGAUAAAAGACUUAAGACAAGUAAAUAUGUAGAAAUACGUACAUACAUGUACACGCAAGAAUGAUUCAAACAGAUAAACACAGAGAAACACAAACACUAAGCUGGAAUUUUUCUUCAACCUGUACAAUGUACUUUCAGUUUUCAUUUCAACCUUCCUGAGUGGUUUCUGCCCAGCAACUGAUGAGAAACAUCACCUCUGAGCCAAU